rnacentral:rRNA from 1 species
GCAGCAGCCGCGGGAAUACGAAGGGGGCUAGCGUUGUUCGGAUUUACUGGGCGUAAAGCGCACGUAGGCGGACUUUUAAGUCAGGGGUGAAAUCCCGGGGCUCAACCCCGGAACUGCCUUUGAUACUGGAAGUCUUGAGUAUGGUAGAGGUGAGUGGAAUUCCGAGUGUAGGGGUGAAAUUCGUAGAUAUUCGGAGGAACACCAGUGGCGAAGGCGGCUCACUGGACCAUUACUGACGCUGAGGUGCGAAAGCGUGGGGAGCAAACAGGAUUAGAUACCCCCGUAGUCCCUGUCUCUUAUAC